UGCUUCUUCUCGAAGCCGUCCCUCCGAAGCAGGAACACCAUCCUUACCCUGGCACUUGUGGUGCUGUCAUCUCACCGGCCGAGCUCGAGGCCCCCAUCCUGGUGCCCCAUACUGCCCAGCGUGGAAAGCAGAGGUAUCCGUUCGAAGCGCUCUUCCGNAGCCAGCACUAUGCCCUCCUCGACAAUUCUUGCCAUGAAUAUCUUUUCAUCUGUGAAUUUUUCAUCGUGUCUGGCCCAGCUGCACAUGACCUGUUCCAUGCCGUCAUCUACCUCACGCUCUACAUGACACUGCUCACAUCCCAAGCUCAGCCCCAGCUUCUGCUGUGGGGAACUUACAUAAGUGUAAGUUACAUUGCAGUGAAGAGGGACGUCCCUGCCCUGGACAGGUACUGGGAGCAGGUGCUUGCCUUGCUGUGGCCUCGGUUUGAGCUGAUCCUGGAGAUGAAUGUCCAGAGUGUCCACAGCACUGACCCCCAGCGCCUUGGGGGACUGGACCCUCGGCCCCACUAUGUAAGGGUGGGCUAAGAUCACAGCCUCUAUGCUGAGUUCUCCUCUGCACUUGUCAGCAUCAACCAGAGGAUCCCCAAUGAACACACACUUCAGCUGCUGGGACAGCUCCAGGUGGAGGUGGAGAAUUUUGUCCUCCGAGUGGCUGCAGAGUUCUCCUCCAGGAAGGAGCAGCUUGUAUUUCUGAUCAACAACUAUGACAUGAUGCUCGGGAUGCUGAUGGACCGGGCUGCUGAUGACAGCAAAGAGGUGGAGAGUUUCCAGCAGCUGCUCAAUGCUCGGACACAGGAGUUCAUUGAGGAGUUGCUGUCUCCCCCCUUUGGGGGUCUGGUGUCAGAGGACUGGCAGGCCCUUCCUUUCUGGCUCACUUCAUUAAAAUGUCUGCUGGGCAGUGGUGGCCUUUGA